rnacentral:lncRNA from 1 species
CCAAAUAGGGGCAGGUGGCCCCUGGGAAGGUCUGAGCUGAGGGAUACAGGGGACCUCCCACCAUUGCCGGAUACCCUGUUCUUGACAAGAAGAUCCUUUUCCCCAGUGCCAAGCCCCUUGGAUCCAUCAGAGAAAUAGCCUCGGGCCUUGUCCUUUUUCACAACCCCACUUCAAAAUCAUGUCAUCUCCCUGGCCUGAUCCCGCUCUAAGCUACUUUGAACAACUAGGAAUUAUUUUUCUCAGAGGCUUUUUGGGCAUUAUGAAAUACAUCCUGAUACAUCCAGGGCAGUAUACCCAGAGCUCCAGGCAGAGAGUGAUGGAAUCACCUCUUGUCACUCACUAGCCUUAGGCCCUUCUGCAGGUUAGCCUCUCAGUCUCUUCCUUAGCUUCCUUAGCUACCACCCAGGGAUUGUAGUAACGUCCCUGGCACCUCUUGUGGGGGUUAGCUGGUGCCCAGAGCCUGGUAGGCAGCAGGCCUGGUGUCAUGGGGGCUGCUGAUACCACAUAACAUCAUCUGGGUUACAUGGGCUCCUCUGCCAUCAUGAUUGAUAGGAACAGAACCUCAGCCAAAAAGCUUCCUGAGCUGUAGGGGCUUUCCCUGAGGCCCAGGUUCACCUGGCCCCUUUCUUCCUUGGUCAUCUCUGCCUUUGCCCACAGUGAACUCUGACUUGGUUGUUCAGUGCUGAAUAUUUCUUUCUUAAUGUUUUGAAUAGGUAAUCCAUUCAUGUGGUUCACAAAUCAUAAAGUAGUUAAAAGCCUUUCUUGAGUUCCUGAUGCCUAGCAAGCUCCGCUCCUCACUCCAUGAAUACCUACUAUUGGUUUGUUCCUUGGGUAUCCUUCCAGAGAUCAUUUAUGCAUGUACACACAUGUGUAUGUGUGUCUAUAUAAUUUUUCUCCUUUUCUACUCAUGUGAUACCAGACAAGUGUAUUCAAGGAACGCUCCUACUAAUGUGGGAAGAGCCAUCCCAGAAAUCAGAAUACAAAAUGUGAACCCAGAAUUGGGGGAUGUUUUUGCAAUCACACUCCUGUUGAGUAAGACAUAUUUUCAUUUUAUUGCAACAUACUGAAAUUUUAGUUUUCUGUACAAAUCAGAAUCUGCAGUCCCUCCCUUACCCCAAAGUGCUGGGAUUACAGGCGUGAGCCACUGCGCCCGGCCAAUAAUUUUUUUAGUUUAAGUUCAUUUUUGUCCCCGCUGAUGAAAGUUAGAGCUGCUUCCUCCAGGCAGCCCUGGGAGUAGGGGCACAGACUUGUGCCUCGCUUCCCAGCAGCUGCCCAGUGCCUCUGUCCACACCCACCUCCCUGGUGUACUUGCCCCCUACAGCAGCAGCCCAGAUCCUCCCCUGGAUUAAAAUUGCAACUGGUGCCCUAACCCAAAACUUGAGAAAAAAUUCUCUAUCACAUCCACUCUUCUGGCAUUUGUAGAAUCUCUGGCCCUGGGUGUGUCUUUUCCUGUAGCUGUUACAGAUUUCUUAAGCAGAUUUCUUAAGCAGAUGGACAUGUCCAGAUUCAUGCCUAAAUAUCCAGUUGAUAACUGGAAAAUGCUGGUUCACGGUUCUUUAGUAAAGAUUAAUAAGGGAUCCCCAUGUGCUGGGGAGUGUGCUUCCAUUUGAGUGGGGAUAUCAGAAGAAAAAGAGGGGCUUGUGUAGUAAACCUUACUUUGCCAAUUCAGCUGUAGAGCCCAAAUUGUUACAAGAUGCAAAGAUGUACUCCACUUUUUGACCAAGCAUCAGCACCUUUGGCUUACCAUCCAGUCCUUACUUCUGUGACUGUAAGGGCCCCACCAGUGUCAGCAGACUUGUUUGUGCUUUGGGGGAACUCUCUUCUCAGCUCCCUUUGCCAGUCCCAAGCCUGGUGGAUCUGCAUCUCACGCCCACUGCACACCGUUCCUCUCCAUCUGCCCUUCCCUCCCAGGCCCCCGGUCGGGGGAGCAGGUGUGGCAAGUGUUAGGAACUCCCUUCUGGUGACAGCUGGUCUUCCUAGAGUGUUGCUGGUAACUAUCGCCUCUUGGUCUUCUGACAUCAUUGCCAGGAACGGGGCACUUUUUCGUCUUGUAGUUUGGCCCUCGGGUUUCCUCACUAGGUAUUGUGUAACUCCCUCAAAAAAAGGUUUAUGAAAUGCUGAACCUCAGGUUUCAUAGACGUCUUUGUACACUAAAAAUUCUGCAGCAGAAUAUUUUUAAACAUUCGCAGUUUUUUGUAAGCUAUAUUUUUGUAUAUUUAAUUGCUAUUUUAAAAUUUUAAUGCAUUUUGCUAAUCACUCCUCAAAAAUAAAACAUGCAUGUAAUUGACUCAAACGUGUAAAUAAAAGCAAAUUUUG